AGGUGCUGGAUGCUACUGAUAAUGAACCUUGGGGUCCUCAUGGUACUGUGCUGGCAGAGAUUUCACAGGCUACCGAAAAAUUUACUGAAUGUCAAAUGGUCAUGAAUGUCCUUUGGACAAGACUGGGUGAAACUGGAAAAGAUUGGCGUUAUGUAUACAAGGCAUUAGCUGUCAUAGAAUAUUUGGUAGCACAUGGAUCUGAACGUGCA